GACGAACGCUGGCGGCGUGCUUAACACAUGCAAGUCGAACGGAAAGGCCCUGCUUUUGUGGGGUGCUCGAGUGGCGAACGGGUGAGUAACACGUGCGUAACCUGCCCUUGACUUUGGGAUAACUUCAGGAAACUGGGGCUAAUACCGGAUAGGAGCUCCUGCUGCAUGGCGGGGGUUGGAAAGUUUCGGCGGUUGGGGAUGGACUCGCGGCUUAUCAGCUUGUUGGUGGGGUAGUGGCUUACCAAGGCUUUGACGGGUAGCCGGCCUGAGAGGGUGACCGGCCACAGUGGGACUGAGGUACGGCGCAGACUGCAACGGGAGGCAGCAGUGGGGAAUAGUGCACAAUGGGCGGAAGCCUGAUGCAGCAACGCCGCGUGCGGGAUGACGGCCUUCGGGUUGUAAACCGCUUUCGCCUGUGACGAAGCGUGAGUGACGGUAAUGGGUAGAGAAGCACCGGCUAACUACGUG
rnacentral:rRNA from 1 species